rnacentral:rRNA from 1 species
UACGUAUGGUGCAAGCGUUAUCCGGAUUUACUGGGUGUAAAGGGAGCGCAGGCGGCACGGCAAGUCUGAUGUGAAAGCCCGCGGCCCAACCGCGGGACUGCAUUGGGAACUACCGGGCUGGAGUGCCGGAGAGGUAGGCGGAAUUCCUAGUGUAGCGGUGAAAUGCGUAGAUAUUAGGAGGAACACCAGUGGCGAAGGCGGCCUACUGGACGGUGACUGACGCUGAGGCUCGAAAGCGUGGGGAGCAAACAGG